AAAUGAGGGCGGAAAUGGAAAACACGAAAGAAGGAGGCGGGGGGGGGACCCCAGUGAGCAUCUAAGUGGUACCAGUUUGCUUGGGAGUGAGGAGGCUGGUGGGCUUCUCUUUUUGACUCCUAGGUGCUAUACAAAAAGGGUUUUGAGGUAGUUGCCAUAAAGGAAACAGAUUUGUCCAGACUCCCAGCCUCAUCCCCCACUGCCAGCUCUGUGAACAUGGCCCCCGCAAGUACUCAUCACCAACCUGGAAGCAGUCCUUCAAUAACCAGCAGGGCGAGAGCUUAGCACAACGAUAAAGUUGCAAGAACGUACCUUGGUUCAUCUUUUUAAAACUGCAGAAGGCAAGACAGACACCUAAGCAGCAGAUAAACUUUCGAAGUAGGAAACAGCUCAUUUUAUGGAAAGCAAGGCUAUGUUUCCAGGAAAAGACAAUGUCGUGGCCCUUCUCCAAGUUAUCCACAGACUGCUUGAGAGUCAGAUCAGAAUGCACCCCUUCUCUGCAGCCGAGACACUUUCUAAGAAGGGAUAAAUGGAUGAAAACACGUCGCAAAGCUGGUGUUACCUCCCCACAGGCAAGGAGACACAGCCUUGGAAAAGCAUACGCAGCACUAUAUCAAGGUGAAGAUAAGAGCACAAUUGAGAGGAUUUAAACUUAUUGGCCCUGUGAAGCACAACCAAGCUUUUGCAAAGAGCUGGUCUCCGUUUCUGGGACUGAUGCUGAGCGUGAAGCUGGAUGGCUUAAGGAAAAUCCUGCAGUUUCCUUGCAGUCUCUUCAGGAGACUCUCAGGGCUCGCUGCAGUUUGUGUGGGCAAAAGCAAGCCUGCAGAUUUUGGAGUUUCUCAAGGGUCGUUAUGCAGACAGGAGCUGGUAGCGGUGGCUUCAGGUGUCUCCUUUCAAGGACAAAGCUCCUCAUGGGUGAAGGGAGGCAUGGCUGUGCGUGGUGAAUCAAGGGGCCAGAGAGCUACGCGGCUAUGACCUCAAGCGCUGAGCUUUCCGAGAAGUUAAAUAAAAACGCACCACACCAA